rnacentral:rRNA from 1 species
CCUACGGGAGGCAGCAGUAGGGAAUCUUGCACAAUGAGGGAAACCUUGAUGCAGCGACGCCGCGUGCGGGACGAAGGCCCUAGGGUUGUAAACCGCUUUCAGUAGGGACGAAAGUGACGGUACCUACAGAAGAAGCCCCGGCCAACUAUGUGCCAGCAGCCGCGGUAAU